GACGAACGCUGGCGGCGUGCCUAAUACAUGCAAGUCGAGCGAAUCAAGAGGAGCUUGCUCCUCUUGGUUAGCGGCGGACGGGUGAGUAACACGUGGGCAACCUGCCUGUAAGACUGGGAUAACUUCGGGAAACCGGAGCUAAUACCGGAUAAUUCUUUCUCUCUCAUGAGGGAAAGCUGAAAGACGGUUUCGGCUGUCACUUACAGAUGGGCCCGCGGCGCAUUAGCUAGUUGGUGAGGUAACGGCUCACCAAGGCGACGAUGCGUAGCCGACCUGGGAGGGUGAUCGGCCACACUGGGACUGAGAAACGGCCCAGACUCCUACGGGAGGCAGCAGUAGGGAAUCUUCCGCAAUGGACGAAAGUCUGACGGAGCACCGCCGCGUGGGCGAUGAAGGCCUUCGGGUCGUAAAGCUCUGUUGUUAGGGAAGAACAAGUAUCGGAGUAACUGCCGGUACCUUGACGGUACCUAACCAGAAAGCCACGGCUAACUACGUGCCAGCAGCCGCCGUAACAC
rnacentral:rRNA from 1 species